rnacentral:tRNA from 1 species
GAAAAAGUAUAGCAAGAACUGCUAACUCAUGCUUCCACACCUAACAGCUGUGGCUUUUUCA